rnacentral:lncRNA from 1 species
CUUUUUUUGAAUCCUCUCAGUUCCUCCUUGUGCCUGGCAGGUAACAUCAUGAAUUCCUAUGAAGUUGCCCAAUUAUUGGUUCCUGCUGUUGCUGGGCUCUAACGUCAUAUCUUCCUGUGGUCUUAAUCUAUAUAUGCUUUGUUUGAACUCAAUAAAGGGUCAUUAUCAAUAGCGUCCAUUCAUUACUCUUCACUUUUCAUUACCCCAAGUAAGUUCACACAGGGCUGGCCGACCCUGGCGCUGAGCCUUACAAUAGAAUCCCUCUUGUCAGUUACACUGUUGGGUACCGUUUCAUACUUGGGAUCAUAACCAGGCACUUAAUAUGGAGGUUUGUCUGGGAUCCCAUGAAGGAAAUGGAGUAUGACCAACAGAGGAAGGGGGCCCCUGUCCCCAGGGCAACUCGGUUCGAUGUGAUCCAGAACAUGCCACAUCUCGGUGGAGGACAGCAGGGUCUGUUAUUCCUUUAGUUGCAUACCCAGUUCAUUGAUCUGCUCUUUUAUUGAUGUAAGUGCUUAGAGAUGAAGAUUCUUCCCUAAGUACUACUUUGGCAUCAUUCCACAAAUUUUGGUUUGUUGUCUCAUUGUCAUUCUCCUUUAUUAAAUUGUUGAUUGUUUCUAUGAUUUGUUCUCUGGCUCACUCAUUCUUUAGGAUUAGGUGAAUUUCCAAUUAAUUUUAAUCUCUUUCCAUAUAUCUUUAUUGAACAUAAUUUUUAUUGCAUUAUGUUCCAAACAGGAUGCAUUUAAGACUUUUGCUUUUCUGCAUUUGAAUGUGAAUAUUUUAUGCGCUAAUAAAUGGUCACUUUGG